rnacentral:piRNA from 1 species
UCCUAGGGCCCAUGGUCUUGUAGUUGGU